rnacentral:rRNA from 1 species
UACGUAGGUGGCAAGCGUUGUCCGGAUUUACUGGGCGUAAAGAGCGCGCAGGCGGUCGUUCAAGUCGCGUGUGAAAGCCCCCGGCUCAACUGGGGAGGGUCACGCGAUACUGAUCGACUCGAAGGCAGGAGAGGGUAGUGGAAUUCCCGGUGUAGUGGUGAAAUGCGUAGAUAUCGGGAGGAACACCUGUGGCGAAGGCGGCCCCCUGGUUGGAUACUGACGCUGAUACGCGAAAGCGUGGGGAGCAAACGGG